CACCCAUUCUAUGGGUAUUAGCAGACCCAUGUAACUUAUCGAAAAUUCUUUCUAUACGCUCAGUGCUGCUCCCUUCUGAGAAGGGGUAUCAUAACAGGCGACUAAAAUAGCUUGUACACCCUCCAUGGGGGUCAAUGGUUUGAGUAUUCAACAACUUCAACGUCAAAUAACAUACAAAAUUAUCAAAGCAACCGUUGUUCGUAUUCGCACUGUUGGUAUCAAUUUCAACAUACUUGUUUUUAUGAACAAAAAAAUUCCCAAUUGAGCAUUCAAUAGAUGAUUUUCUUCUCGAACAGAGUAAAAUUAGAAAAGCAGAGUUUCGGUUUAAUUCAAAUUCAAAUCAAUUUUUUCCGAAUGGCAAUAUAUGGUUAAUAAUUCGUCCAAAAGGUCAACCAAAAUAUAUUUUUACCAUUUAAAGCAUUGUAGAUGGCUCUAAAGUACUCACUUCCAACAGAUAUACUUUUAAAGCAGAUUUGUUUUUCCAAGACACACAUUGGUUACCAUGGCUAGAUGCAUGAAUCUUGUUGCCCCAACUCUUAAGGUGGCGUUGCGAACAUCGAAAGUCCGUAUAGAAGAAUUGAUGUUCGCGGCAAAGCCCACUUCUUUAUCUUGAAGUGACGGUAUCUUUGGUAUUAGUUAGGUGAAAGGAAUCAAUCAAUAGAAGUCGAAUUUUGCAGUCUGACGCUAUGAAACGCCAUCUUAAAAUCCAAUUCGGCGGCUUCCGCUCAACUUUAAAAUAUUUCAAAUGACUGAAAAUCGCAUGAAAACAAAUCUACCAAAACUAUGACAAAAAUAUAACAAAAUUAUGAAAAGAUAUUUUACAAUAUUAUGACAACAAAAAUUACGAAACGCUGACAAAACUUUGAGAAAAAUAUGGCAAAGGUGAUAAAAAUAUUAGAAAAAUAUACCAAAACUUUGAUAAAUUUGACAUUAAAAUGGCAAAGCCAUGACUAAAAUAUUAAAAAAAUCUGACAAAAAUGAAUUAAAGUUGACUAAACUAAAUAACAAAAAAUUACAAUAGUAACAAAACACGAAAUAAAAACUUUGACAAAUAUUUGACAACAUGAUGGAAAAUAUGACACUUACUUACUUACCCAAGUAACAAUUUAAGUUUUAUAAGAAACUGGAAGGGCACUUCAAAACUUUGUUAUAAAACAACGUUUAGCUAUAUAAACCCCAUUAAAACAUUUAUAUAACAACUAUAAGUGUAAAAAGGCCCACCUACAGGAGGUUCUGAAGUGCCCAUUCUAAGACUCUUAAACAAUAAUAUGGGCUUAAAACAGUUUUAAUCAAGGCUUGCUCUAGAUCUCUCUAGAUAAUCAUGUUCUUUCUGCACUGAACAAAAGGUUCGUAAUUUUUUUUUAUCCGGAAAAGAGUUUUACAAUGGCAAUAAUUAAAAUCAAAUAAUCUUACCGAAUCAAAAACUAAUUGAAUGAUUUUUUUUCAACCACGACCCAAAAAUAACCUUUCAUAUACAUUCUAAACAUCACAAUCGAUAUUUUUGGUAACGUUAUGGAUAAAUAUGUUGCGCUUUUAAUUUGAUCGAUUAGUUUUUCGAGAAACUUAUAUAUAAACUGCGCGCCCUUGUAAAUUUCAAAAAUAGAAGAUUUUAUGAGAUAUUUUAUGGAAUAAUAAAUUGUUCAAAUUUAUUUCAGCUAUUGUAUUCUAGUUUGCUACGUCAAUAUUUAAUCAAAUAUCCAAUUAAAAUAAUUUAACUAGGCGCAAUUGAUGGUAAAUAAUGGUUUUUAUUAUAAUAUUCGAUGAGAAAUCACAUUUAAACUUUCAUGAUUUCAUUUAAAAAUGGCGAUUCCUUGAAAUCAUCUCUUUGACUUGACGAAAUCUGCUAUGAAUCUAACAACUCUGGAUAAAUGUCAUUUCAAGUACAAAUGUUCUUCCAAAAAACAGUUUGGCACCUUAUAGAACCAAACGAUCUUUUGACGGAUCUUUAUAAGGGUUCUUAUUUCAGUGCAGCUGACGGUGCGACAAAAAAGAAAACAAAAUAAUCAAGAUAAACGAAAACUGCAAAAUUGCGAUCAAAAAAUAUUUUAUUUAUCGGUCUCGUAACUGAAAGAUUCGAGUACCUUAUUCUACGGUUUGGUGAUCUGGAGAAGUGGAGAAGGAUUUUGCCCAGCCAUCGAUCGGGAUCAUAGCACAAAAGUUGCAGGAAUGUUUCUGAAUUGCGAGGUUUUUCCGCUAAAUUGUAUCCGGAACAGAAUGUCAUCAUUUGUUGCGAAAAGAAAACGUCCGCCGGAAUUCUAAAACCAGCUGGGAAAUCACUAAGAAUCUGGGAACAUAACAUGAAACCUCGGAAGCAGGAAGUUUUCAAUUCAAGGUAGAAUCUACUGGUGCGAAAUACUCGAAUGCUGACUGGAACUGAAGAAUGGAUAAUUAUAACAGGAAUGAUUACCGGUUUCCGUGCAACGUGAUUUUUCGGUACAAGCAAUGGUUUUAGUUGUGAAAUAAAAGUGUAGAUAAUGUGAAAA